GAUGAACGCUGGCGGCGUGCCUAAUACAUGCAAGUCGAGCGAACAGACGAGGAGCUUGCUCCUCUGACGUUAGCGGCGGACGGGUGAGUAACACGUGGAUAACCUACCUAUAAGACUGGGAUAACUUCGGGAAACCGGAGCUAAUACCGGAUAAUAUCUUGAACCGCAUGGUUCAAUAGUGAAAGACGGUUUUGCUGUCCCUUAUAGAUGGAUCCGCGCCGCAUUAGCUAUUUGGUAAGGUAACGGCUUACCAAGGCGACGAUGCUUAGCCGACCUGAGAGGGUGAUCGGCCACACUGGAACUGAGACACGGUCCAGACUCCUACGGGAGGCAGCAGUAGGGAAUCUUCCGCAAUGGGCGAAAGCCUGACGGAGCAACGCCGCGUGAGUGAUGAAGUUCUUCGGAUCGUAAAACUCUGUUAUUAGGGAAGAACAAAUGUGUAAGUAACUAUGCACGUCUUGACGGUACCUAAUCAGAAAGCCACGGCUAACUACGUG
rnacentral:rRNA from 1 species